UGACCGUAGGAAAGGAAGGAGUCGGUAUUGAAGGAAAAGAAGGUAUCGAUCGAAUUACGUAAAAGGGAUUGAAGAGGAGUAAACGAUUUUUAUGUAACUACUACGUCGAGCUCGACCUGAUAAACUUCCUAUUGCAUCCUCUGAAUGGCAGGCGCACACGUUCUUUCGUUCGACGUAUUGCGAGUUGAGAAGGGAAGCGAACACUUGUUACGCACAUUGUCUCUGAAUUUGGCUCGGCCAUGGCCACGAACGAUUGACUUCGAUUCAUGAAUCGAUUAUGCGAAUCUGAUCGGUCGCACGAUGAUGACAAACAAGUAGUCGAUUGGGCUCACGUGUCGUCUCUACUGACCGAUAUAAUGGCGGUUAAGAAAAUUUAUCGUAAUAUAAUUGAUCAACUUUUCGAAUCAUCGUUUAUAUGUUUAAGUUUUUUUUUUUUUCAUUAUUUAAAUUCUGCUUGGUAAAAAUAAUUUUAAAGUUUAAUAAUAAUUGUAAAGGAAGAAUGGUGGAGUAUUAUAAUAAAUCGCAACGUAAUAAUUGUGGAUUUGACUGAGAGGAUUUUUUGGCAGUGUAACGAAGUUUUAUCACGUAGAAAUUACACGUCCAGACGUCUUGGCUAUUUUUAAAAAUCUAUAUUCUCGAUUAUAUUCCGUUCUUCUAAUUCUUUUGAUUUAUUCCAACUUGCGAACCAAAUUAAUUACCAAUUAUUCCUAACGAGUUUUAGAUUCGAUGAAUCGUAAGUCAUAAAGAUUGCUUGCCAAAAUUCGGGACAAGAUUUUACCAGUGCCAUUUUCUAAUUACAGAAGAUAGCGUGCAUCAUCACAACAGAUUUCUUCGGAUUCCCUGGCUACUUUUCCACCUCUCUUUCGUUAAAUUUCAAGAGAAACUGGGAAACACGCCUGUUAUUUUGGUUGGUAUAGCUCUUUGUUUCUCGUCGUAAUCGCCCAACUAUCCACCAGAGAAGCCUCCGCGACGAUGAACGUCGGUCUGUGAUCAAGAAUAAUGGUCCGCGAAGGAAAAGCAAGGAAAGAAUGCGAAGAAAGGGGCCUUUUCUUGGAACGCUAUUUUCGUUGGAUCAG